rnacentral:rRNA from 1 species
UUGACCUCGAAUCAGGUAGGAAUACCCGCUGAACUUAAGCAUAUCAAUAAGCGGAGGAAAAGAAACCAACAGGGAUUGCCUUAGUAACGGCGAGUGAAGCGGCAACAGCUCAAAUUUGAAAUCUGGCCUAUGGUCCGAGUUGUAAUUUGCAGAGGAUGCUUCGGGCGCGGUGCCUUCCAAGUCCCCUGGAACGGGGCGCCGGAGAGGGUGAGAGCCCCGUACGGUUGGCGGCCAAGCCUGUGUGAAGCUCCUUCGACGAGUCGAGUAGUUUGGGAAUGCUGCUCUAAGCGGGAGGUAGACCCCUUCUAAAGCUAAAUACCGGCCAGAGACCGAUAGCGCACAAGUAGAGUGAUCGAAAGAUGAAAAGCACUUUGAAAAGAGGGUUAAACAGCACGUGAAAUUGUUGAAAGGGAAGCGCUUGUGACCAGACGUGCGCCGGGAUGUUCAGCGGGCGUUCUCGCCCGUGCACUCGCCCCGGUGCAGGCCAGCGUCGGUUUGGGU